AUCAGUUUUCCCCUUUACACCACUUUCACAGCUUCCCAUAAAGCGGAAACUGAAACUUCUCCAUUGUCAUUAUGUUCCAUAUAAUCCAUCCAUUCCUGCUUUAUAUUCUGAACUACUUCCGGAUCAUUCAAAAGUGAUACAUUCAACCUCCAAGGUUAAAUUCUUUUAUAAUUCUCUAACCUUAUUGACAUCACAAUUGGAACAUGGUCUGAUAUCGUUAUGGGAUCUAUGUGACAAUCCACAACAGUAUAGGCAUCUUUUUUCAAUACACAAAACAAAACAAUUCUGGAGUAGCUAUUAUGGACCUUUGAAAAAAAGUGUAGUAUGUCUCCUUUGGAGUUUUUGCCU